rnacentral:rRNA from 1 species
UACGUAGGGUGCAAGCGUUGUCCGGAUUCAUUGGGCGUAAAGAGCGCGCAGGCGGUCGUUCAAGUCGCGUGUGAAAGCCCCCGGCUCAACUGGGGAGGGUCACGCGAUACUGAUCGACUCGAAGGCAGGAGAGGGAAGUGGAAUUCCCGGUGUAGUGGUGAAAUGCGUAGAUAUCGGGAGGAACACCAGUGGCGAAGGCGACUUCCUGGCCUGUUCUUGACGCUGAGGCGCGAAAGCUAGGGGAGCAAACGGG